ensembl:lncRNA
AUGAGAAAACCAGACAAGUUACCUUGGAAAUAUUUGCCAAACAACAUCCCACCAAAACAGCUUUACAUAAAUUUUGAAGACAAAAUAAACAUUCUAAAAUUUAUUUAUUCAUUUUUUUGUUCUCCUUCAGGUCAAACAUCAAAGUGUGGCUCUAUGCACCUACAUAUGAGGAUGGUGUCUGUUAAUAGUAAUGAUAAUCUCUUGUGUAUCUCAUAGGAAAUCAUACCGUUGGACACUUACAAAGUGCAAGCACUAUCUUUGAAAAGAAAGGCACGUAAUUACUUGAAUAUUAUCAUUUACUGAAGGAUUGAAAAAUAUUUAAACUGCAGUAGUGUCCUUCAGAUUCAAAUUAUGGCCAAAGUUCUCUUACAUGAACUUAACAGUUUAGAGAAUGUGAAAUGAGUACAUAUUUAAUACUUUGACCCUUUUAUUCAGUUUGUUUGUUUUGAUACCAGGAGUCAAAACAGUCAUCACUCUGGGUCUUCAGAAGAAAAAGUUAAUCCCUUCCCACUGAGAAGGACCUCCGUUAACUUACCUUGUCAUCUGGUAUUCAAUGUAUUUUCAUUUUUGUCUAGUGGAGUACUGCAUGCAUAGCACUAAAGUCAUCAUCAGUUAUAUACGUUUGUUCCUGCUUUCUGAUUGGCACACAUUUCCAUGCCUAUGUAUUGAGGAGAAUGUACUUAUGAAAUAUAAAAUCAUAAAACUCAAAAUAAAUGAAAGAGUUUAAAUGGUGAGAAGAAAAAAAAAAAAAAACUUACACAAAACUGAAGAUCAUAUAACUUCAAGCCCUAAAGUCUACUUAAGCUUUUUUAAUGUGCAACUAUAGAAUGUUUCUACAUUUUGAAAAUAACACUAGAGGUAUAGAAAUCAAUAUACUUAACGUAGUUAGUUAUACUAAACAUGCCAUCAUUAAUGAUCAAUGUUUUCAAAUGAUCUGUCGUUAGAUGUGAAUAAUAUUAACUAUCAAAGAGAUGACUAAAAUGACAACGUAGCAUCUAUAAAAAGUAAUAAAAUAGUAAUAGUAAUGGGCUUUCAAAAUAUAAAACAUGUUUUAAAAAGACAAAGAAGAAAAAUCAGAAAAAUACAAACCCACAAAACAGGAAAAAGAAAAUUUGUGUAUGUGUUUGUGCAUGAGAUCAACCAUGUUGAUUAUUGUGACGUGUGUGUAUCUAUAUAUAUGAAUGUAUACAGCUUAAGACAGUCAGAGGAAAGGUAAUUGGAAUACAUCAGUCAUUUGAAGUAAGUUUGAAGAGUUAGUGUAAAUUAUUAGUUACUAUCAAUGCCUGUUGAAAGUUACCUUCCUAAUGUUGGAAACUCAUCUAAUUUUAUAAAGUUUUAAAACUCUGUUGAAAGGAGUAAUUUAUCUGAGAAAAUAAUUAUGUGAAUUUUCUGAAUGUGUCAAAACCGCAUCAUAUGGAAGACUUUAAAUCAUAGGUUUGUAUUCAAAAUCAUUAUUUAGCAUAUACUAUAAAUAGGUUAUGCAAUAACAUCUCAAUGGACUUCCAUUACUUGAAGAUUGAAGUCUAGUUUUCAAUGGAAAGUAGGUUAACUACCUUCAAAUACUCUCUGAUGCCAAUUUGAUAUAGCUAAAAAUCCCUACAUCUUUUCUUCAGUUCCAUCUAUGGCUGCAUCUUACAAUUUUGACAUUAGCACUCAGUAUUCAUCUACUAAUGUUUAAUCCAAACAGAUUAGUGUGCUGUUGGUGGGAGUGUAAAUUAGUGCAGCCACUAUGGAAAACAGUAUGAAGGGAUGUCCCUCCAAAAACUAAAAACAGAACUACUAUAGGAUCCAGCAUUCCCACUGCUGGGUAUGUAUCCAAAACAAAAUAAAUCACUGUAUAAAAAGAUAUCUGAACCCCUAUGUUUGUUGCCAGCACUGUUUACAAAAGCCAAGAUAUGGAAUUAAUCUAAGUGUCCAUGAGUGGAUAUAUAGAUAAAUAAAUAAAUAAAUAAAAUGUGGUACAUAUUGUAGUACACAAUGGAAAGUUAUUCAGCCAUAAAUAAUCCUAUCAUUUUUCAAGAACAGAGAUGGACUUUGAGGAUAUUAUGUUGAGCGAAAUAAGCCAGACACAGAAAGACAAAUAUUCACGCGAUCUCAUUUCUAUACAGUAGCCAAAAAAUUAAUAUUAUGGAGGUAGUAGAAUGAUCAUUACCAGAGGCUGGAAAUGGUAGUAGGGGAGGGAUAAAGUGGGGUCAGUUAACAAGUACUGAGACACGAUUAGAUAGAAUAAAUAAGAUUUACUGUUUAGUAGAAAAAUAAGGCAGCUCUCGUUACAAAUAAGUUAUUGUAUAUUUCAAUAUAUUAAUAAAUAGAGGAUUGGAAUUGGAAUGCUCCUAACACAAAGAAAUGAUAACUUUUUGUGGUGAUGGAUAUUCUAAGUCUCCUGAUUUGAUCAUUAAUCAUUGUACAUUUGUAUCAAAAUACCACAUGUGCCCCAUAAAUUUUUUCAACCAUUAUGUAUUCAUAUAUUUAAAUAUAUAUAUAAAAGACUAGUCUACUGUCUAUUGAGAAAAUAAAAUGCAUUUUAGUGGUUUUAUAUUUUCACCAUUGUUAAAUCAGUCCCAUUAUUUCAUCUACCUAUUCAUUUAUCCAUUCAUUCAUUUAGCAAGUAUCUACUAAAUAUGAAUAUAUCAUAUACAUUAAUCAUAAAACAUGAAUAAGAUAUUAAAAAUUCCCUGACAGAACUCGGCCUCCUCACACCCUCUCUACCUACAUACCUCAAGUCUAUCUUUAUUAAAGUUCUCACAUGCAGUCACAACUAAAAAGACAUCUCCUGUGAGUUCACUGUAAGUAUAGCUUAUACUUUCCAUGUGUUAGGAAUAAAUAUGAAACAUAUGUUUUUUUAAUUGUAUCUUUGUUAGAUUUUGAUUAAAUGUCCAAGCCAUUUUAUUUGAUCUCCCCAUCCAAAUCACAAGGUUAUUAAGAUCAAGAAUUACAUACCUAUUCAUAGUCUAAAAACAAUUAUGUCAUAAAAUCUUACGCAUAGCAAAUUGUCAAUGCUAUGUUUUAGGCAUGAAUCUUAGUUGUAAGCAAUAUAAAAUGCUCUCUUAUUGAAGCAUAAAACUAAAUUUUUAUACGAAUAUUGCAUGGGUUAAUACUUCAGUGGGUAGUUUUAGAUCAAAGCUUGGAAAAGCAAAAUAAACGAACCAAAAAGGACAAAGAGCUGAAGUUAAAAUUUAUCUCAAAAACUGCUCUGAGUACCAGAAAACAUAACUGCACCAACCCUCAACUCAGGAGGCGGACGUUGAGUACAAACACCAACACGUAAGGUGAAUCCACAAUUUGGAGGAAACUGAAAGAAAGCUCUGGGAGUUUAAGCUUUAUCAAGUGGGCAUGCCCAGUGGCAGUGGGCAAAAAACAUCAAUACUGUUGCCAUAGCCACUGUUACUCAUAUGAGUU